CAUUUCCUUCGGCUUCUUUAUAGUGCUGCCUUGUUGCAUAUGGUUCAAGCAGCAUUGUACAGGGCUAUGAAGGUUUUG